rnacentral:hammerhead_ribozyme from 1 species
GCACUGCUGAGGAGUCCCAUAAUAGAACGAAACAGUCGUCCAGUGC